GGCUCGGCAAACGUUACUCUUCUCAUAAACAAUUUAAAGGUUUAUGAUCUGACAUACGUAACCGAUGUGAGACUUUACUCCCACCAUCGCUGCUCCCACCAUAAACCCCUAACCCUCUUCUCGUCGGUGACUCUGACUUCCCUCGCAAGUCCUCCGUGGAUUCUCCCUCCGUCUCUGCAAACCCGUGACCUCUUCCGCCGCCAUUGGUCGAAAGAAAUCCGCUGCCACCACUGGUUUUCUUUUACUCCGUCAGGUGCCACCACUGUUCCUUGUCUUGACAGGACUUCAUUUUCAAUUGUGGGGGUUUGUCUGUAGCAUUUGUUUUUGUGACUAACUGGGAUUGCAACAACGUGUCUCUGAUCUUCAGCAGAUUCAAUUCUUCUCAUACAGAGUUCAGAAAUUGAGAACACAAUUUGCACGUUUUUAUGUUAUCAUCACGCUCCCAGCUAAACAGCAAAUCGAUUCAUUUAUUCAGUCAUACUUCAAGUGAGUUAAAUACGUUGCUUUUAUUUUGUUCUGAUUGAUCAUUUGCCAUGUACAAUUCAUCUGGAGGUGAAAACUGAAACUUAUUACCAACUUUGAUGUGUUGUUCCAAUUGACAUUUCUUAUAUUAAAAAUAAUUACAGUUGUGCGAAGUGCAUACAAUAAUUAGCUUCCAGGACUUAAGAAUUAAACUUAAAUAUUGAUUUAAUGCAUGAACUUUUAUUAUGGUUAUAAAGAAGCAGCAAUCGGUGCAAGGAAUGAACUUUUACCUUAAAGUGGUUUGGUUACUUCCAUUCCAGGCAUUGACAAUCACGACGCAAAUGCGGUAAAUCAUUUUAUUAUGAAGCAUCUUCUCAUUUUAGUUUUCGUGAUUUUUCAUGCCUAAACCUAACAGUGAUAAAGCUCAGGAUUCUUGAUUAUAUAGAUGUUUAAACUCUGGAGUAUCUUCUUUCUCUAACAAUAGCUAUAUCACCUAAUAUUUGACUUAAAUGUGAAAUGAAACCAUGAUAAGCAUAUGCACAUCGCUUGAGUUAUUGUCAUUCUGGUCGCUCAAUUCAGCUUAGUCAAGCUAUUGGUUCUGUCCAAGCAAUUGCCAAGGCAUCAAAAGACCAAAUUCUGGAGAAUACAGACCUUUCUGCUGAGAAGGCAGAGAUGAUUUCAAGGUUUCUGAGGGACCCCAAGUUUUACUCUUCUCCCAAGAUCACCUGAUGGCGCAGUAACAAUGGAAUCCGGCAGGUUGGGAUCUUUUGUUUUCUCCCACAACAACAAUAAAUAAUAAUGUAAAGAUAAGCUCGAUGAGUCAGCACACAAGGUAUUAACUGAUUAUCAAGCUGCUGCAGUGACUCUCUUAGCGCUAUUAUCAGCUGCACCUGGUGAUAAGCAUCGCCAUCUGAAAUAAGAGGAUCUUUGGUAAGCACAAAUGUGCUUAUGAUCACUGCUGGACAGUUUCUUUCCUACCUUGUCAACCUUGCUUUUACAGAGGUUCCAGGAACAUGGUGAUGGAUGUUCGGAGUAUCAGGUGUGCCAACAGUUGUUCAGUUUGUUUGCAUGCUCUUUCUUCUCGAAUCCCCAAGAUGGCUAUUUAUAAAGAAUAGGAAAAAUGAAGCAGUUGAUGUGCUUUCUAAGAUCUAUAUAUGAUCUUGCUCACUUAGAGGAUGAAGUUGAUUUCGUCACAGCUCAAUCGGAGCAAGACCACCAGAAAAGGAAUAAUGUCAAA